UACAGAGACUGCAAGCGUUAUUCGGAUUCACUGGGCGUAAAGGGUGCGCAGGCGGCUUGGUGUGUCAGAUGUGAAAUCCCGAGGCUUAACCUCGGAACUGCGUCUGAAACUACUCGACUAGAGUACUGGAGAGGGAAACGGAAUUCACGGUGUAGCAGUGAAAUGCGUAGAUAUCGUGAGGAACACCAGAGGCGAAGGCGGUUUCCUGGACAGUUACUGACGCUCAGGCACGAAAGCAUGGGGAGCAAAAGGG
rnacentral:rRNA from 1 species